rnacentral:lncRNA from 1 species
CCCUUACCGCCGCUGCGGUCUCGAAGGGUAAUUUGGUAAUCAUGGUAAGGAGGUGACGUGUCGGUGGUCCCGUCUGGGGGGGAGAUCUCUUCGUAGCGUUGUUGGUUUCUGGUCGCCAGAGGCCAGGCACAUGGGAGCGGCAGCGGCUGCAGCAGCGCUGCUGGAUACAUCGAGAACUCUUGCCCCCAGGUCGUUUUCAAUUAUAAUUUACUUAUUUUUUUCCUCUUUUCUCUUCUUUCAAAUGUUAAAAUAUUAUAAAGUAUGGGAUAAAAUAAGAUCAAAAUGUCACGAAAAUUAAUGGGGCCAUUAAAUACUCGCCUCCCCCGCUCUUAUUAAUGGAGCAAUGCAGGAGAAUGGGAAGGGAGGGGGAGAAAGUCCCGAGUCCCUUUUUUUUAACUCCUUCUUGGCCUUGCUGCUGCCUUUUUUUAAAAAUUUAGUUUAUAUGUACAUUUUUUUAAUCUCUCAGCGGCUCUCAGUGGUGGCGUGCCGCUCUUAGGUCGUGGAGGAGCGGCCGGAGCUUCCGCUAUGGGUACGUGAAACCCGGGGAGUACGUUUCUUGGUCGCCGCGUCCCCGAAUUACCCUCGGUUCGGACCGGCUCUUCUUGGCCGCGCCAUCGUCUCGUGGGAGGUAGCAGGAGGGGCAUUCCCGUCAUUUUGAGGUGGCUGGGUACGAAUAUUUCAGGCUGGGGAGCUAUUGCGUGUGGGAUGGAGGGAAGAGUAGGGGAAGAGGCGGGAGGGGAGGAGGGGAAGAAGUACACUUAAAACCGGGGUUGGUAAAUAUUGAGGAGUUAUAAAAGAGGGGGAAAAGAAGAGGAGAGAGAUUUACUGCAUGCCCUUGCUUUUGUUUCUUUCUUUUUCUCUCCAGGAGAAUGAGAAGAGUGAAGAGAAAGGAAGAGGGGAGAAGGUGUCUCCUCCUUAAAAAGGGAGGCCGGCCUCUACGGCCAAGCUAGAGAAAGAGAGGAAGAUUAAAGCUUUGGUCUCAAACGCGAGGCAUUUGGUUCCCUCGGCACGAGAGAAGGCGCGAAGGCGUCGAUGGCGGUGGCGGUGGCAAAGGAGGAGAUGAUGGUGGGCUACUGGCGGUGGUGGUGGUGGUGGUGGUGGUGGAAGGCUGCAUACACAAGGUGAUGAGGUGGUGUCGUGGUUUUGAGGUGUAUGUUCGCUUGUGGAACUGGGAUAUUGGCGUAAUAGGCUCAAUCACUUCUUUUUUUU